rnacentral:rRNA from 1 species
GGGGGAUAACGCAGCGAAAGCUGUGCUAAUACCGCAUACGAUCUAUGGAUGAAAGCGGGGGAUCGCAAGACCUCGCGCGAUUGGAGCGGCCGAUGUCAGAUUAGCUAGUUGGUGGGGUAAAGGCCCACCAAGGCGACGAUCUGUAGCUGGUCUGAGAGGACGACCAGCCACACUGGGACUGAGACACGGUCCAGACUCCUACGGGAGGCAGCAGUGGGGAAUUUUGGACAAUGGGCGAAAGCCUGAUCCAGCCAUACCGCGUGAGUGAAGAAGGCCUUCGGGUUGUAAAGCUCUUUCAGCCGGAAAGAAAUUGCUUCUAUUAAUACUAGGAGUAGAUGACGGUACCGGAAGAAGAAGCACCGGCUAACUACGUGCCAGCAGCCGCGGUAAUA